UGGGGUAUAGCUCAGUGGUAGAGUGCAUGCUUAGCAUGCAUGAGGGCCUGGCUUCAAUCCCCAGUGCCUCCA